CCUUAGUCAAACAGCUUCUUCAUCGGGAUGUGAGCGAAACUGGAGUGUCUUUGAACGUAUUCAUACCAAAAAAAGAAACAAGCUAGAGCAUCAAAGACUCAAUGAUCUUGUAUAUGUUCACUACAACUUGCGUUUACAAAACAGGUAUGGGACAAGAAGAUCAUAUGAUCCCGUUGAUUAUGAGUCAAUUGAUAAAACUGAGUUUUGGAUUGUGGAAGAAGAAGGAGAAGGAGAACUUGAUUUUUCUGAAUUAGAAGAUAAACUUCUUGAAGAAUAUCCUAAAGAUGGCGAAGAACUCAAUCAUGGUGAUGCAGAUUAGAGUGAUAAAGACUUGGAG